UACGUAGGGUGCGAGCGUUGUCCGGAAUUAUUGGGCGUAAAAGAGCUCGUAGGCGGCUUGUCACGUCGGGUGUGAAAGCCCGGGGCUUAACCCCCGGGUCUGCAUUCGAUACGGGGCAGGCUAGAGUGUGGUAGGGGGAGAUCGGAAUUCCUGGUGUAGCGGUGAAAAUGCGCAGAUAUCAGGAGGAACACCGGUGGCGAAGGCGGAUCUCUGGGCCAUUACUGACGCUGAGGAGCGAAAAGCGUGGGGGGAGCGAACAGGGA
rnacentral:rRNA from 1 species